AUACAGCUUAUUCUCUAUUAGGAGUCCUACCAAAUGGCCGAUGAAGAAGGUUCUUCGAUUCUGGAUGACUCUCCGAUCGAGCAAGUUCGGUUGACAGUCCCACCAACAGAUGAUAACACAUUGCAGGUCUUGACAUUCCGAACAUGGCUUAUCGGAAUCCCCAUUUGCAUCCUCGAGUCCGUAAGUGCAGCAUUAUCCUUUUACCGACAGCAAAUGUUCUAUUUUUCACAUGUCUGCAUCAACAUGAUGGUGUUCAUUGCUGGGAAACUAAUGGCUAACAUGCUACCGAACAAAGUGAUAAGAAUGCCAUACACAAACUGGAGUUUCUCGUUGAAUCCGGGACCCUUCAACUUGAAAGAACAUGUGGUGACCUCCAUGUUGGCCGGCACGGCAAGUGCUUCUGCCGGCUUUGAAAUAUUAACCAUAUCCAAGAUCUUCUACCACAAGGAUAUCCCGUUACUGCCGGCCAUGCUGCUGGUGCUAUCGAUUCAGGUGAUUUCUUUUGUUAUCAUGAAAUCGGUGUAAAAAAAAUCAUUAGUUAUUCUUUAAAAGAGGUAAUAAUAUGGUGCUGAAUUCUUCGAUUGUUUUA